GUGGUGAUCAGAGAGCAACGAAGAGCAGCCAUAUCAAUAACCAGUGACAGCAACAAACUGCGAGAUCCACUAUGGGGAAGAACAGACGAAUCUAGAGACAGGAGGGAGACCAGGAGACCCUGUGUGGGGACUCCUCGUCGUCCCCCAGAGAACAUCGUCCGGCACAGGAGGAAGAGGCCACCCCCGAUCCGGGCUCCUCCUCCCCCUCUCCGGACCCCCCCCCCUGCCCCAUCAGGUCUCCACCUCGUCGCAAAACAAAGAACGUCUGAGACAGGUGGUGAUCAGAUGGAUGGAGACAAAUGAGGAGGCGAAUGACCCGGACCAAGGCCAGACCGCCCUGGACCAAGACCAGAACGCAGAUGAACCUGACAGCCCCCCCACAAAGGCCCUGGCCCAGGUCAUGGGGAACCUGAGGUUCCAGGUGAAGGGCCUCAAAAAGAAGAGGGUUCAACCAGCAUCCACCUCCCGGCUUGAUGAGGAGAAGCCUUUGGGCCGCCCUUCAGGCCGGAGCCCCUUCCCUGGCCAGACCGCCCCGGACCAAGACCAGACCGCCCCGGACCAAGACCAGACCGCCCCAGACCCAAGCCAGACCGCCCUGGACCAAGGCCAGACCGCCAAUGAACCUGAACCCCAACACCAGGGAGAAGGCUCAGGCCCUAUCGUGGCCUGGCUGCCUCCGACCGCAGACGGGCCCCCCAGGAAGGACCUGGCCCAGGUCGUGGGGAACCUGAAGGUCCGGGUGAAGGGAGUCAGGAAGCUGAGGGUGGAAACAGCAACCAUGGACCCAGGCCAGACCGCCCAGGACCCAAACCAGCUCCCCAAUGUGCCUGACAGCCCCCCCACAAAGGCCCUGGCCCAGGUCAUGGGGAACCUGAGGUUUCGGGUGAAGGGCCUCAAAAAGAAGAGGGUUCAACCAGCAUCCACCUCCCGGCUUGAUGAGGAGAAGCCUUUGGGCCGCCCUUCAGGCCGGAGCCCCUUCCCUGGCCAGACCGCCACGGACCAAGGCCAGACCGCCCCGGACCCAAGCCAGAUCCCUGAGGAACCUGGUGAACAGGGCCCGAGAAAGGACCUGUCCCAGGUCUUGGGGAACGUGAGGGUCCGGGUGAGGGCACUAAGAAAGAAGAGGGUCGAAACAGCUACCACAGCACUGACGGAGCAGGAGGAGGAGAAGCCUUUGGGCCGCCCUUCACGCCAGAACACCUUUAGGCGAAUCAAGAUGGCCUGGGCCGACCCAAAGGCCGUCAUCACCACCGACGCACCCCCGAACACCCCUGAACAUCAGGAUCUGGUCAUCGAGGCUGAGGAGGAGGGGGAAGCCACAGCUCAGGCUGAGGGGACGAGCCUCAGGCCCCGGGUCAACAAGUGGCUGAACCGUAGAAUGAAGGAGAUGUCUACAUUUGCGGCCCGGUUCCAGUGUGGGUCGUGUGUGCGCUAAGAAAAAAAAAAGGAAAGAAAAGAAAAUAGCAUAUAAAAACCCAAAAAAAACAACUGCAAAAUAAAAUGUAUUACAUUGUGAAGACAAAGUAUGCACGUCAAACAUCUGAUGGCGCCCGACCAAGUCCAGAUCGAUGUGAAGUCACACAGGAGGGAAACCCCAGCUUUGUCUAAGCCCGGGUGAAUUUAAGCAAAGUAUUGAAACAUCUGAUGGGACUCAACCAAGUCCUCAUCGAUGUUGCAUCACACUGAGGUGUGUCAUACUUUGUUUAAAUUCACCUACGCUAGGACAAAGCUGGGGUUUCACUCCAGUGGGAUGUCACAUCGAUGUGGACCUGGGCUGGACUUAUCCGAUGUUUGAUGUCCAUACUUUGUCUGGGCCCAGGUGAAUUUAAACAAAGUAUGUACGUCAAACAACUGAAGUGACCCGACCAGGUCGACAUCGAUGUGACAUCACACAGGAGUGAAACCCCAGCUUUGUCUGAGCCCGGGUGAAUUUAAACAAAGUAGUCAAACAUCUGAUGGGACCCAACCAAGUCCUCAUCGGUGUUACAUCACAUUGAGGUGUGUAAUGCUUUGUUUAAAUUCACCUGCGCUUGGACCAAGCUGCGGUUUCUCUCCAGUGUGAAAUCACAUCGAUGUGGACUUGGUUGGGUCCCAUCCGAUGUUGGACGUACACACUUUGUUUCAAUUCGCCUGGGCCCAACUGCAAUUCAUGUAUAAAAAAACAAAUAAAAAUGUUUGCCGAAAUCUUCGUCCUCCUGUCUGUUUAUAGAUGUAUAUACUCAAUGGCAGACACACACUCUUUGACACACACGUGUGUGAGCGUGCACACACACAACAACAGCAGGUGGUGGAAGAAGAACCCGAAAGCUUGAGUAAAAGUACAGAUAUCUUCCAAGAAAAGGGCCCCGGUAAAAGUAAAAGGCCCCCAAUAGAAUACGACUUGAGUAAAAGUCUUCCACUAUCUGAU
ensembl:lncRNA